rnacentral:rRNA from 1 species
GAUGAACGCUGGCGGCGUGCUUAACACAUGCAAGUCGAACGGAAAGGCCCAAGCUUGCUUGGGUACUCGAGUGGCGAACGGGUGAGUAACACGUGGGUGAUCUGCCCUGCACUUCGGGAUAAGCCUGGGAAACUGGGUCUAAUACCGGAUAGGACGAUGGUUUGGAUGCCAUUGUGGAAAGUUUUUUCGGUGUGGGAUGAGCUCGCGGCCUAUCAGCUUGUUGGUGGGGUAAUGGCCUACCAAGGCGUCGCCGGGUAGCCGGCCUGAGAGGGUGUAGGGCCACAUUGGGACUGAGAUACGGCCCAGACUCCGACGGGAGGCAGCAGUGGGGAAUAUUGCACAAUGGGCGCAAGCCUGAGGCAGCGACGCCGCGGGGGGGAUGACGGCCUUCGGGUUGUAAACUCCUUUCGCUAGGGACGAAGCGUUUUUGUGACGGUACCUGGAGAAGAAGCACCGGCUAACUACGUG